rnacentral:misc_RNA from 1 species
GGCUAUGUACAGGCUGCUUUUUCCAGGGCCAAGAAAAUUGAUAGUCCCUUGGCCACCGGCGUUGUGCUUUGUGGGCAGAAACAGAUGUCUGAGGUUUGUUACUGUCUUUGUUUCAUCUAUAAAUUUAUUCUUGAUUACAUUUUCUCUUGAAAUGCAGUGGCACCAAAAAGGUGCCAAUCCAUUUACAAAAGGGUACUUAACAACAAAAGUUUAUUGUAAGAAACAUUGGAUGUUCCCAAAGAUUUAUCAUAUGAAAACUUCAUACACAUCAGUUACAGUACAGAAUUUAAACCCAUAGUUUGUUGACCAGUAAAUUGAAGUGGAAAAUGAAAAACUCUCUCAAAAGUUCACCUGUCCUUCCUUUCCAAAAGUUUGAUAGUUCAACAGAAGGAUAUCUAUUAUUUCUGUACAAGAUCAGAUGCCCCUCCAAGCUCACAACUCAUUUGGUCAAACUUCAGGAGAUGCCCUUGAUCCUGUGGUAAUCCAACUCAUCUGCCAAUGCAAUAAGAAAUGAUUGAUUGAUGAGCAGUAUGUUUGCAGGAAAGAACCCAUUGACCAUGAAUUUUCAGUGUUUGCCCUUUAUUGAUAUCCAAGAUCCCCUCACAAGUUACUGUUGUAGAGAGAGAGAGAAGAGACGGAGGGAGGGGUGAGUUGGUUCACUUACAUAAUUUCUUCAGUACUUAGAAAAGGGUGGUGAACCUUCCCUUUUGUACGCUUUCUUCCUGACUGGAGUCUGAUGGAAGGAUCUGAUGACGCAACUUCUUUCUCCAAGUAUAAAUUAAUCAGAAUAUUCUCUUGACAAGAGGGGGAGAGAGAGAGAGAGA